GCCACAAGGGCAUAGUCCACCUGCAGUGAGUACACAGAGCACUAAGGACCAGAGAGAGGAAAUGGAAGGAAUUCUUUGAAUUGUACCAGCCAGAAAUGCCCUGCUCCCACCUACCUUGACCCCUUUUCUUAUCCAUUAGAGCCCUGCCCACCCUCCUACAAAGCCAGGACCUGCCUGCUGCGGGUCUUGCAAGCACUGGAAUGAACGGUUCUCUACUUCUCCAAGACCUCCCAAGGCACAGAGAAUUCUUGUCUCCAGUGGGCACUCUCAGCAAAGAAUUCUUGCGGUCGUCUUCAGUCUGUGGCAGGAGUCUCAAGCCAGCUACAUCAGUUACAGCCACUUCCCUUUCCUGGACACCAUAUGGGCAGCCAGCCUGGACUCGUGAACCUCCCAGGACCAGCAAGGCCCAGGGGCACCUACAGCAAGCAGAAGCUACCUGGGGGUAUCCUCCACACAAGAAGAAAAGCAUGUACCCAACCCUGGGAGAGUCUGGCUUCUCUGAUCCCUCUGAAGAAAGGUGACAGUGGAAAGAAGCCUAACAAACACCAAGUGUCAACUGGCUUCCAGCUGUACUUCAUUUCCCAUGUGAUCUCCCCAGCCAGCCACAGUUUUCCUACCUGUCCUGAAAAGAGGAGAGAAGAUUGCUAUUCCCUCUUGGUACCAUCUGGAAGUCAAAGGAUCCAUGACGUUGGCUUUUGCCUGACCCCGCCCUAGUUGAGCUGACACAGGCUUCCCGUUGUCCCGCCCCACAGAGGAGGAAGAAAAGUGACUAGCAGGAGCAUGGAGGGUAUCAAGAGUCCCUGUGAGUGUCCACAAGCUAAAGCUGCAAAGCUUGUACACAGCCAUGGCCCAGAGAGAAGCAGCAACUUGACUCUGGUCACACAGUAAACUGGGAAAGGUCAGGUCAGCUGGGGAUAACUUUAUGGCAGCUAACACUCAGAAGUGUCCACCAGAAAAGGGACUUGGAUUUAGCUUCUGAAAGGACAUCAAGAAAGUACAAAGCACUUCUCUAAUAGCAGAAGCUCAGAUCCAAGAGCAGCAGUGGAACCAAAAAGAUGGUGUGUUCAUACUUGUGGGCUAACUUCUCAGCCUCUCAGGUCACAGAGCACAAGGACAACAGGGGUCCUGCCAGCUACAGGUAAAUCCUGGCGACCGCUACAAGGAAGAAGUCACCUGAGGUUUCAGCACUAGGGAGGCCGAGGGAAGAGCAUCCAUCAACAAAAAGCUGGGUAUUAGACUAGGUUACAAAAAAAAAAAAAAAAAAUGCAUACCCCGGCAGCAAUGAGAGAAUCGCCAGAGGAGUACCCUAAAACCAGCCAGACCCAAAGAUGUCAAAGCCUUGGGGAUGCUAAAAGCCUGGAGGCACUAAAGUCAGUACAAACGAAAGCCAGUGGCUAGAAUGACUCCAGAAGAGACAAGCUGGGAGGCAUGGAGCCACAGAAGCCCCUAAUUUCCUAAAGGCCUGGUGGGCACAACACAAGCCUGCUGAGACAAAGGAUGUUUCCUGAAGGCCCACAUGAAAGCAGUCUGUCCCUUCGGACUUGCUGGAGCUUGUCACCAUGACAAGAUCCUGCUG
rnacentral:lncRNA from 1 species